rnacentral:rRNA from 1 species
GUUGGGGACUCUAGCGAGACUGCCAGUGAUAAACUGGAGGAAGGUGGGAUGACGUCAAAUCAUCAUGCCCCUUAUGACCUGGGCUACAAACGUGAUACAAUGGCUGAAACAAAGGGCAGCGAAGCAGUGAUGUGAAGCGAAACCCAAAAAAGCAGUCUCAGUUCGGAUUGAAGUCUGCAACUCGACUGCAUGAAGCCGGAAUCGCUAGUAAUCGCGGAUCAGCAUGCCGCGGUGAAUACGUUCCCGGGCCUU